rnacentral:rRNA from 1 species
UGGGGAAUUUUGGACAAUGGGGGCAACCCUGAUCCAGCCAUGCCGCGUGUGUGAAGAAGGCCUUCGGGUUGUAAAGCACUUUCGGACGGAACGAAAUCGCACGGGUGAAUAUCCCGUGUGGAUGACGGUACUGUAAGAAGAAGCACCGGCUAACUACGUGCCAGCAGCCGCGGUAAUACGUAGGGUGCGAGCGUUAAUCGGAAUUACUGGGCGUAAAGCGUGCGCAGGCGGCUUUGCAAGUCAGACGUGAAAUCCCCGGGCUUAACCUGGGAAUGGCGUUUGAAACUACGGAGCUGGAGUGUGGCAGAGGGGGGUAGAAUUCCACGUGUAGCAGUGAAAUGCGUAGAUAUGUGGAGGAAUACCGAUGGCGAAGGCAGCCCCCUGGGCCAACACUGACGCUCAUGCACGAAAGCGUGGGGAGCAAACAGGAUUAGAUACCCUGGUAGUCCACGCCCUAAACUAUGUCAACUAGUUGUUGGGGGAGUUAAAUCCCUUAGUAACGCAGCUAACGCGUGAAGUUGACCGCCUGGGGAGCACGGUCGCAAGAUUA